rnacentral:rRNA from 1 species
CAAUAGCGUAUAUUAAAGUUGUUGCAGUUAAAAAGCUCGUAGUUGAACUUCAGGCUUGGCGGGGUGGUCUGCCUCACGGUAUGUACUACCCGGCCGAGCCUUACCUCCUGGUGAGCCUGCAUGCCGUUUAUUCGGUGUGUAGGGGAACCAGGAAUUUUACUUUGAAAUAAUUAGAGUGUUCAAAGCAGGCAUAUGCCCGAAUACAUUAGCAUGGAAUAAUAGAAUAGGACGUGCGGUUCUAUUUUGUUGGUUUCUAGUAUCGCCGUAAUGAUUAAUAGGGACGGUUGGGGGCAUUAGUAUUCAGUUGCUAGAGGUGAAAUUCUUAGAUUUACUGAAGACUAACUACUGCGAAAGCAUUUGCCAAGGACGUUUUCAUUAA